GCCAGGUAUGGUGGUGCAUGCCUGUAAUCCCAGCUACUUGGGAGGCUGAGGCAGGAGAAUCACUUGAACCUGGGAGACUGAGGUUGCAGUGAUCUGCGAUAGUGCCACUGUCCUCCAGCCUGGGUGACAAAGUGAGACUCCGUCUCAA
rnacentral:SRP_RNA from 1 species